rnacentral:rRNA from 1 species
AGCGAACGCUGGCGGCAGGCCUAACACAUGCAAGUCGAACGAACCUUUCGGGGUUAGUGGCGGACGGGUGAGUAACACGUGGGAACGUGCCUUUAGGUUCGGAAUAACUCAGGGAAACUUGUGCUAAUACCGAAUGUGCCCUUCGGGGGAAAGAUUUAUCGCCUUUAGAGCGGCCCGCGUCUGAUUAGCUAGUUGGUUGAGGUAAUUGCUCACCAAGGCGACGAUCAGUAGCUGGUCUGAGAGGAUGAUCAGCCACAUUGGGACUGAGACACGGCCCAAACUCCUACGGGAGGCAGCAGUGGGGAAUCUUGCGCAAUGGGCGAAAGCCUGACGCAGCCAUGCCGCGUGAAUGAUGAAGGUCUUAGGAUUGUAAAAUUCUUUCACCGGGGACGAUAAUGACGGUACCCGGAGAAGAAGCCCCGGCUAACUUCGUG